AGCGAACGCUGGCGGCAGGCCUAACACAUGCAAGUCGAACGAAGUCUUCGGACUUAGUGGCGGACGGGUGAGUAACACGUGGGAACGUACCUUUUGGUUCGGAACAACUCAGGGAAACUUGAGCUAAUACCGGAUGAGCCCUUAGGGGGAAAGAUUUAUCGCCGAAAGAGCGGCCCGCGUUAGAUUAGCUAGUUGGUGAGGUAACGGCUCACCAAGGCUACGAUCUAUAGCUGGUCUGAGAGGAUGAUCAGCCACACUGGGACUGAGACACGGCCCAGACUCCUACGGGAGGCAGCAGUGGGGAAUCUUGCGCAAUGGGCGAAAGCCUGACGCAGCCAUGCCGCGUGAAUGAUGAAGGUCUUAGGAUUGUAAAAUUCUUUUACCAGGGACGAUAAUGACGGUACCUGGAGAAAAAGCCCCGGCUAACUUCGUGCCAGCCGCCGCCGUAAGAC
rnacentral:rRNA from 1 species